UCUCCCCAUUUACAGCAGUAAGACAGCCUAACCUGGGAAAGAGAGAGGGAAGCUACUUCCAAAUGGAUGCCUGUCCCCAUCAGUAAUAACCAAGUCUAUUCAAGUGCCAGAUGUUAACUUUAAAAGAAGGGAACAUCAAAAGUCCAACUUUCUUCGCCUAGCUUUGUCAGGAAUGUUUUUACCCUCAAUCUAAAACUAAUGGAAAGAUGGAAUAAAAUCUAAAGAAAUGUCCUUAACAGCAUAGUCACAAAGAGCUCUACCCUACCAAGCCACUCUGCAAGUCCCACUCUCAAAGGAAG